UGCUAAGGUAGCAUAAUAAAAGGCCUACUAAUUAGAGGAUAGAAUGAAAGGACCUACGUCUUAAUAACUUUUUAAAAAUUACAUUAUUAAUCUUAUCUAAAAGUAAAAAAGCUUUUAUUCAACAGAAGGACAAAAAGACCCUGACGAGCUUAACAUUUAUUUAGCUGGGGCAGCUAAUUAACAACAACUUAAUAGGCAAUCAAGAUACAGACCCAUUACUAUUGAUUACAAAUCAAGCUACCGCAGGGAUAACAGCAAAACUAGUUUUAAAAGACCCUAUCUAAAAACUACACUUUGACCUCGAUGUUGAAUUAACAAAAUACUCUACUUAGAAAAAUAAGUAUAAGUAGGUCUGUUCGACCUUUAAAUUGUUACAUGAUUUGAGUUCAGACCGGCGUAAGCCAGGUCAGAUUAUAUCCUCUUGUAAACUUAUGUUAGUACGAAAGGACCACAUAAUUAAUAAUA
rnacentral:rRNA from 1 species